GGGCCCGUGGCCAAGCCUGGAUAAGGCGCCGGCCUUCUAAGCCGGAGAUCCUGGGUUCAAAUCCCAGCGGGCCCGCCA
rnacentral:tRNA from 1 species